rnacentral:rRNA from 1 species
UUCCGGUUGAUCCUGCCGGACCUGACUGCUAUCGGAUUGAUACUAAGCCAUGCGAGUCAUUGUAGCAAUACAAGGCAGACGGCUCAGUAACGCGUAGUCAACCUAACCUAUGGACGGGAAUAACCUCGGGAAACUGAGAAUAAUGCCCGAUAGAACACUAUACCUGGAAUGGUUUGUGUUCCAAAUGAUUUAUCGCCGUAGGAUGGGACUGCGGCCUAUCAGUUUGUUGGUGAGGUAAUGGCCCACCAAGACUAUUACAGGUACGGGCUCUGAGAGGAGUAGCCCGGAGAUGGGUACUGAGACACGGACCCAGGCCCUAUGGGGCGCAGCAGGCGAGAAAACUUUGCAAUGUGCGAAAGCACGACAAGGUUAAUCCGAGUGGUUUGUGCUAAACGAACCUUUUGUCGGUCCUAGAAACACCGAUGAAUAAGGGGUGGGCAAGUUCUGGUGUCAGCCGCCGCGGUAACACCAGCCCCUCGAGUGGUGGGGAUGAUUAUUUGGCCUAAAGCGUCCGUAGCCGGCCGAGCAAGUCUUCCGUUAAAUCCAGCGUCUCAAGCGUUGGACUGCGGGAGAUACUACACGGCUAGAGAGUGGGGAGAGG